CUUCAGAUACAUCCUCGCGACUAAUGACAACCUUUUCCUGCUGCCGGAAAGUGCUCUCAUUAGCCGCGCGAAUAGCUGUACCGAAGAAUCGUUAUUAUUGCGGCAACAGCUCAGUGUGCCGCAUUCAGAAGAAAAGGGGCCGUCGGCCCCUUUCC
rfam:Morganella morganii subsp. morganii KT, complete genome.